ACGUAGGUGACGAGCGUUGUUCGGAAUUAUUGGGCGUAAAGGGUUCGUAGGAGGUUUAUUAAGAUUGGUGUGAAAUCCCAAGGCUCAACCUUGGAACUGCAUUGAUUACUGAUGAACUAGAGUGUCGUAGAGGAAAGCGGAAUUCCAGGUGUAGCGGUGGAAUGCGAAGAUAUCAGGAAGAACACCGAAAGCGAAGGAAGAAAACAGGGAGAAAACAGACGCAGAGGAACGAAAGAAAGGGGAGAAAAAAG
rnacentral:rRNA from 1 species